rnacentral:rRNA from 1 species
UACGGGAGGCAGCAGGGGGGAAUUUUCCACAAUGGGCGAAAGCCUGAUGGAGCAAUACCGCGUGAGGGAUGAAGGAUCGUGGUCUGUAAACCUCUUUUCUUAACGAAGAAGUUCUGACGGUAGUUAAGGAAUAAGCACCGGCUAACUCCGUGCCAGCAGCCGCGGUAAUACGGGGGGUGCGAGCGUUGUCCGGAAUGAUUGGGCGUAAAGCAUCUGUAGGUGGUUUUUAAAGUCGACUGUUAAAGCCCAGGGCUCAACUUUGGAAAAGCGGUCGAGUACUUAAAAACUUGAGUAUGGUAGGGGUAGAGGGAAUUCCUAGUGGAGCGGUGAAAUGCACAGAGAUUAGGAAGAACACCAAAGGCGAAAGCACUCUACUGGGCCAACACUGACACUGAGAGAUGAAAGUCGGGGGAGCGAAAAGGAUUAGAUACCCUUGUAGUCCCAACUGUAAACGAUGGAUACUAAGUGCUGGCAAAACCAGUGCUGUAGCUAACGCGUUAAGUAUCCCGCCUGGGGAGUAUGCACGCAAGAGUGAAACUCAAAGGAAUUGACGG